AGAGUUUGAUCCUGGCUCAGGAUGAACGCUGGCGGCGUGUUUAAGGCAUGCAAGUCGAACGAUUUCUUCGGAAAAAGUGGCAAACGGGAGAGUAACACAUUGGUAAUUUACCUCGAGGUCGUGGACAACCAUGGGAAACCAUGGCUAAUACACGAUGGUCAAGGGGGGUCAUAAGACAUUCCCUUGUAAAGUUCAGGCGCCUCGAGAGAAGCCUAUGUCCUAUCAGCUUGUUGGUGAGGUAAAAGCUCACCAAGGCAACGACGGGUACCGGGCGUGAGAGCGUGACCCGGCUCACUGGGACUGAGACACUGCCCAGACACCUACGGGUGGCUGCAGUCGAGAAUCUUCCACAAUGGGCGAAAGCCUGAUGGAGCGACGCCGCGUGCUAGAUGAAGCCCCUUGGGGUGUAAAUAGCUUUUAUAUGGGACGAAUUCGUGACGGUACCAUAUGAAUAAGAGGGUGCUAACUCUGUGCCAGCAGCAGCGGUAAUACAGAGCCCUCGAGCGUUAUCCGGAAUUAUUGGGCGUAAAGCGUCCGCAGGUUGUUUUAUUCGUCACUCGUUAAAUCUCGGUGCUCAACAUCGAGGCUGCGGGUGAUACGGUAAAACUAGAGGCUGGGAGAGGUAAGCGGAAUUGCUGGUGUAGCGGUAAAAUGCGUUAAUAUCAGCAAGAACACCAAAUGCGAAGGCAGCUUACUGGAACAUGCCUGACACUCAGGGACGAAAGCGUGGGUAGCGAAUGGGAUUAGAUACCCCAGUAGUCCACGCCGUAAACGAUGGAUGCUAGGUAUUGGGAGUUUCGACCCUCUCAGUGCCGUUGAAUCAAGCUAACGCGUUAAGCAUCCCGCCUGGGGAGUACGGCCGCAAGGCUAAAACUCAAAGGAAUAGACGGGGACCCGCACAAGCAGUGGAUCAUGUGGUUUAAUUCGACGCUAAGCGAUAACCUUACCUAGGUUUGACAUCUAGCUGCAAGCUCCUUAAUAGGAGCCGCCUUCGAGGGUGCUAGACAGGUGUUGCAUGGUUGCCGUCAGCUCGUGCCGUGAGGUGUACCCUUCAGUGGGGUAACGAGCGCAACCCACGUCCAGUGUUAUACUUUCACUGGAGACUGCCUGCGCAAGCAGGAGGAAGGUGUGGAUGACGUCAAAUCAGCAUGACCCUUACACCUAGGGCUACACACAUGAUACAAUGGCCGGCACAACGGGUAGCCAAACCGCAAGGUGGAGCCAAUCCCUAAAAGUCGGUCUCAGUUCGGAUCGAAGGCUGCAACUCGCCUUCGUGAAGUCGGAAUUGCUAGUAAUCGCGGAUCAGAUCGCCGCGGUGAAUACGUUCUCGGGUCUUGUACUCACCGCCCGUCAUAUCAUGGAAGUUGGUAAUGCCCGAACGUCGUCGAUUGACGACGGAAGGUAGGACCAAUGACUGGGAUAAAGUCGUAACAAGGCAUCCGUAGCGGAAGCUGUGGAUG
rnacentral:rRNA from 1 species